GGCGAACGCUGGCGGCGUGCUUAACACAUGCAAGCCGAACGGUAAGGCCCUUCGGGGUACACGAGUGGCGAACGGGUGAGUAACACGUGGGUGAUCUGCCCUGCACUUCGGGAUAAGCCUGGGAAACUGGGUCUAAUACCGGAUAGGACUCCGGACUGCAUGGUCUGGGGUGGAAAGCUUUUGCGGUGUGGGAUGGGCCCGCGGCCUAUCAGCUUGUUGGGGGGGUGAUGGCCUACCAAGGCGACGACGGGUAGCCGGCCUGAGAGGGUGACCGGCCAUACUGGGACGGAGAUACGGCCCAGACUCCUACGGGAGGCAGCAGUGGGGAAUAUUGCACAAUGGGCGCAAGCCUGAUGCAGCGACGCCGCGUGAGGGAUGACGGCCUUCGGGUUGUAAACCUCUUUCAGCAUCGACGAAGCGAAAGUGACGGUAGGUGCAGAAGAAGGACCGGCCAACUACGUGCCAGCCGCCGCCGUAA
rnacentral:rRNA from 1 species